AGAAGCGCUAUCCGAGAACCCUAUGAUGCUCGAAAAUAGCUGCAAGAGAAGUACAGCAACUUCAGCAAUUACCAACAAUACAUGUUUUCUAUAAAGCAAGCUAUGAACCAUCUUGUUUAAUUCUCUUAGAGGUUCAUAAGAAAGCCUCACGUGUGAAAUAAAUGCACUCAAAGACGCUUCACAAGUAGCACUUUGGAGCUUCAGAUGUGAAAUGGAUCAUUCCUCAAUCUGUAAUAAACCCUUCUGUGAAGCUCUUCAAUCAAACCUGAGAAGUCAAGAGCCUUGUAAACUGCAAUUUGUACGCUGGUAAGAAAAACCUGGCAGAGGAGUUAGGAUGCCAUUACCAUUUGAAAAGAGGCAAUCAUAAGGCGCUUCUGAGCCCUUUGUCCACUGAAAAUGCUGAUUUGCAGGCGGUGAGUGAAAAAGUGGAACUGCCACUGAAUAAAACCUUGAGCUAGG
rnacentral:lncRNA from 1 species